AUGAGGCGCUCGCAGGCACCUCGAGAAGCAGGCCCCGACCGCUCGCCGACGAAGCCUCGUCCGGGCCUCCUGGGAGCGGGGUGGCAGGUACCGUGGCGCCUCCUCGCGUUGGUCUUGCUGGUUCUCGGCCCCCGAAGCGGAGCGACGGAGACACAGCUGUGGAAGCAUCUGGAUCCGCUGCCCAGGUCCCCGAGCUUCCCGGAACCCGAGGCCGCAGGACACUGAAGGCUGCCAUUCCCGAGUAGGUCACGCUGGACGCCACCCUAAGCUGGGCCCAGAGGCUCCCGUCCAGGAGGGCUGCAGUCGGCGCAGACACCGCGCGUGUGGAGACGGGAGACCCAUCCUCCUCGGCCGUUCCGAGAGUAGGCGCGGCCGGUCAGAUUCGAUGCAGAGCCGAAUGCGGGAGAAAGGGCAAAACGUACCUCAAACCAGACAAAGCCUUGUGAGCUUCAGGUUCUCAAAUACCCCACUCACCCAGACCCCACAUCUCCAGUCAGCCCCUCGCACCCAAAUCCCAUUCGGAGCAACCGAACUGCACGUGGGACUAGUUCUUGGGAAUGGAUCAAGCCAGUCUCUUCAUCUAACGGAGACAGCCCUGGGUGGCUCUGUCACACAGCCACUGUCUUGUGCACAAGUUCUGAACUUGGCCUCAGAGAAGCCCCAGAGUAGAAAGAAGACAAAAUAAGCCCCAGUUCUUCGAUUCUGGGCUGAAGUGAGAUUUUCUUGAAUGGCAGCCAUUGUUUUGCCUCUUAGGUAAGUGAGUGCAGUAAAGACCGGUAAGGCCCACGCAGAAGAAACACUGAGGAAAGAAGACACUUCCAAAGUAACAAAUGGGAGGAAGCAGCCAACGCCCGAGGACAACAUGGCAAGAAGGAGCCUUUGGAUUCCGGACUGGGAUGGAAAGAGAGUUGAUUGAAUCCCGGAAUUUGGAAACCCCAGAUACGGAGGGCGGACGGUACAACCGGAGCUGUCAGAGUCUCACUCUUUUGCCCAAAUUAGAGUGCAAUGACACGAUCUCGACUCACUGCAAUCUCUGCCUCCUGAGUUCAAGCAAGUCUCCUGCCUCAGCCUCCUAAAUAGCCAGGAUUACAGGCAUGUGCCACCACGCCCAGCUAAUGUUUUUUUUUUUUUUUGAUGUCUUUAUUAAAGCAGAACUUUCUUUUUUUUUUUUAUUAUACUUUAAGUUCUAGGGUACAUGUGCACAACGUGCAGGUUUGUUACAUAUGUA
rnacentral:lncRNA from 1 species